AAACACCAGGGUGGAUUG
rnacentral:rRNA from 1 species